UGAGGGUCGCCGGUGGUCGCCCGUCCGACGGGCGGUGCGGACCGCCGGAGGAAAGUCCGAGCUCCGCAGGGCAGGGUGCCGGGUAACGCCCGGGCGUCGCGAGGCGACGGACAGUGCAACAGAGAGCAGACCGCCGAUGGCCCGCGCAUCCGCGAGGAUCAGCGGGCACAGGCAAGGGUGAAAGGGUGCGGUAAGAGCGCACCGGGCUUCCUGGUAACAGGGGUCGCACGGCAAACCCCACCCGGAGCAAGGCCAAAUAGGGGACGAGGAGCGGCCCGCUCCGUCCGAGUCCCGGGUAGGCUGCACGAGGCCCGCGGCAACGCGUGGUCCCAGAGAAAUGACCCUCCUCCCCCGCAGGGCUCAGGCCCCGGGACGGAGACAGAACUCGGCUU
rnacentral:RNase_P_RNA from 1 species